ACCUAGAGGGGACUCCAAAGAGUCUAGAAUACAGAAGAGCUUGGAACACAACCAAAGAAUUCAUCUUCCCAGUUACUGCUUUCCCUGUACUGCCAAGCACCACUGCUUCCAUCUUCCCCAUAGAUAUCAACCUUCCCCACUCCCUAGACCAAAUGGGCCAUGACCAACUACUGCCAAUCUUUCUCAUCAGGCAAGGCGACCUGACAUGUGUUCUCUGGGAAUCUCAGGGACAAAGAAGAGGACGACUGCCAGAGCUUUCCCCCUUUCCAUCUUGGCCUGAGCACAUGGGGUGUCCUUGGGGUUGUGCUGAAGAUACAUUCAGUGUGUGUACAAAAGGAGGCCUCCACUUCUCUGCUGUGUUUCAUUGUCUGAUUUCCAGAAUCUUCACCAAGUCUCUCACUGGAUAUCUGGAAGCAAAAUUCUAGGUGAUUCUUGUGAGGAGCAAAACUACAUCAAACCCAGGCCAUUUCUUUCUGGAUGCUGCUUCAUAUCCUUACUCACAGAGGGAACUAGAAUGUCUUUGGAAUUUAAUCAGCUUCCCUUUAGACUAGAAGCAAUAUGAUGAACCUUAGGACCACAGAAGUCCCAUCCCUCCUGGUUUAUAGUGCUUAAAUCAUACUCAAGUUAUUAAUACUGUUGGAGCUAAAUUCAAUUUUCUUAUACUUUCAAUUUAUGUAAUAGACCAAAUUAAAAAAUUAAACCUUGUUCUCCAA